UACGGAGGGUGCAAGCGUUAUCCGGAUUCACUGGGUUUAAAGGGUGCGUAGGUGGGCUGGUAAGUCAGUGGUGAAAUCUCCGGGCUUAACUCGGAAACUGCCAUUGAUACUAUCAGUCUUGAAUACCGUGGAGUCAGUAGAAUAUGUCAUGUAGCGGUGAAAUGCUUAGAUAUGACAUAGAAUACCAAUUGCGAAGGCAGCUGGCUACACGAAUAUUGACACUCAGGCACGAAAGCGUGGGGAUCAAACAGG
rnacentral:rRNA from 1 species